rnacentral:tRNA from 1 species
CAUUAAAUGACUGAAGGGUAAGUAUUGAUUUUUUAAAUCAAAUAUAUUAGAUUAACAACUAAUUUUAAUG